rnacentral:rRNA from 1 species
UACGUAGGUGGCAAGCGUUGUCCGGAUUUACUGGGUGUAAAGGGCGUGUAGCCGGGUUGACAAGUCAGAUGUGAAAUCCUGCGGCUUAACCGCAGAACUGCAUUUGAAACUGUUGAUCUUGAGUACUGGAGAGGCAGACGGAAUUCCUAGUGUAGCGGUGAAAUGCGUAGAUAUUAGGAGGAACACCAGUGGCGAAGGCGGUCUGCUGGACAGCAACUGACGUUGAGGCCCGAAAGCGUGGGGAGCAAACAGG